CUCUCCCUCACAGUCCCAUUUUCCCUCAUUUCAAUCGAUUCUCUCUCUCUUUCUACCCACUCAACCUUCUCUCAUCAAUAAACUCUCUCACGUAGCUCUCUCCUCAUUCUCUCCUUCUCGGUGCACAUAAAAACACCACCACAACCACCUCCAAAAUUCUCAAAACAUCACCAUCUUCUCUAAGCUUCACCCAAAGCCACCCAAAAAAAAACUCUUAAGACAUCAAGGACACUCUACAAUUCGUUCCAAAUCUCAUGGUUUUGCCUAGCUCGGGAAAAAUACGAUGUUUUCAUCUCGUAUCUCGAUGGAACCCAACGGUUCAAACCAUCUCGAAUGACUUCUCAUAACCCUUAGGCCUUGGGUUUGAGCUUGCAUUCUCGAAUCCAUUUUGAAAUCGACGAACACAAAGAACUCCAACUUGGACCGUCACUUUCAGGUCAUUUUCCGAUGAGCUCUAGCCAACUUUUGACCUUAAAAUUGGUAUAAUCUUAUUUCUCUCAUCCUAAGCUUCGUUUUGACAUAUUAUGCGUUAAAUUUAGUUGUGCAAUGGCUCCGAAUGGGCCCGUUUCAAUUUCUUCCCAAAUUUCCAACAUAAAUCUCAUUCUUGUGCAAACUAAGGGAAAUUAAGUUUACUGCAUUAAUUUUAUUGCUUUAGGGAACUGUUAUUAGCACUCCAAAAAUCUCAUUCUACACUCCUCACAAGUGUAUUUUUCUUUCUAAUUAUAGAAAGUUUGGAGUGCCAAAUGAGAUUUUUGGAGUACUAAUAACAAUUCCCUUACUUUAAUGAUUAGUGUAGUAAUUUUCCGUUUAGGAGAGGACCAUCCGAAGGUGUACCAUGAGCAUAAUAAUUGGACGGUUACGACAUGUAUGUACUUGUGAGUGAGUCUUUUCAUUUUUUAAGUGUAUAUGUGUAUAUGUGAUUUUUCUUGAUAACUGCUUUUAUAUAUUAUGAUGUGACAUGUCAUAUUUAGCUUUACAAAUAAACUUUUCGUACACUUUUGAUGCAGGGCACAACGGACAGAAAUGAAUAAAAUGAAAUGAGAACAAAAAAUUAGGAUAAUAAGGAUGGAUAGGUAGGGUUCACUAUCUCUUAGUGAGAGAAGAGGCCUGAAAACCCUAUAAACUUUGGUUAUAGUACCAGCCUACAAUGUAGACACUAGAAAGAACAAAGAUGCAGACUCUUAACUAAGAGAAAGGCACAUAAAAACGAGUUUACAACUCAAAUAUUAAUAUGAUAAUUCAAACAAGUUCUCCCCUCCUUCUUUAUAAAUACAAGUAUUUAUAGGCUUACAACUUAAAGUGAAAAAUAUUAAAAGACAUAAAACAUAAAGGCUUACAAUAUAACUCCUAAAAAACUAAAUGAUUUCUUAAAAUGUCAUUAACCUAGGAAUUCCAUAAGCCACAAAUUUAAAGCUAGAUACAUGCAUUAUAACUCUAAAAAUGCACGUAUUAUAUUAUAAAACUUAAAUCCCAGUUGCCAGUAAUUUUAUGUAAUAACGCCUUUAGUCUUUGGCCUGCAUCAUUCUCGUGGGGUUGGAGAGAAUUUGUCCUUGAAUUCGGAUCAUCAUUUGAUUUGGAGCAAUAAAAUUGAACUCUACCAGUCCAAACAAAUAGGUAUUUGGAGCAUUUAAUAUUGACUUUUGAAGUGUGAAAAGCACCCUUAAUAGCAUACCUCGCAACCUUGACAUUCUUUUUCAUUAUUUAUAAUGUCAACCAAAACUUUGGAAAUUUUGAAGUAGAAGACAUCAACCCCAAUUAAAUCACAUAUCCAAAAGUUUCCAAUGAACUCAUUAAAUCAUGAAACUCCAACUUCAAAAAUUCUUUGUAAUCAGCAUUUUUAAUAAUUAGACAAGAUUCCAUAUCAACAUUUUGUUGAACCACACAAGAACCUUGACAGCAAACUUGAUAAGUACCUAUUUGUUUGGACUGGUAAAAAACUGAACAUUACAUAAAGAAAGUAAUCCAAUCAGCCAAAAAACGUCCAAAACGCCUUGGCUAUUAUUAAGAGCUACUAAUGUUAUUAAGUUCUUCUAAUAAGCCAUAGUCAUUGAUUUUAUCCCAAUGAUUCAAUAAAUAUAGUGGCAAAUUGAUAUGCAUCAUCAUCUUGGGGUUGGAGAAAAUUCACCCUCGAAUUUGCAUUUCCAGUAUCAUCGAUGUCCCCUCUGUAUGGAAUGAAGUGUUUCAGUUUGAACACAUUGAAUAUGGCUUGGUAACUUGGUGUCAUGAUUGAAACAAUCGAACUUGGUAAUCCAAGAAGUCAGUACAUGCCACAAAAUAAUAACUUAGCAACUUCUAAAGCAUCCAUUGUCUUCUUGUAGGCAAUAAGGUAAGCCAUUUUAGAAAAUUGAUCCCCCACAACAAAAAUUGAGUCUACACCAUGCUGAGUAUGAGGCAAACCCAAAACAAAAUCCUUUCUCAUGUCCACCCAUGGUUGUGAUUGACUAGGUAAUGGCAUGUACAAAGCAGUGUUCGUCGCCUUGCCUUUAGAAACUUGACAGAUUCGACUUUGUUCCACAAAACAAUAUACCUCUUUACGCAUGGCAGGCCAGAAAUGAGAAAAAAACACUAGUGUAAAGGUUUUGUCCCUUCCAACGCGGCCAUCAUUAUGUAACUCUUGUAUGAUCUACAGCCUCAAACUAGACUCAGGUAUACAAAGUUGAUUCCCUUUAAAGAGAAACCCAUCAUAGAACACAUAAUAUGUUCUUCUCGAAUAAACUAGUCCCCAAGUUUUAUUUGGUCUUCCUUUGUCUUUCGGAUACCCAACAAGUACUUGCCACAAUAGCCAACUAAGAACCACAAAUUCAGCAUGCAUCAACAUAUCCAAAUAGUACAAAAUUCCAAAUAAUUUCAUUCUUCUCCACUUUGUCAUGUUCCGUUUGGAAUUUAAUCUUUUCUUGAUGACAUAAAUUGCAUUUAAGUGCACAUACAAUUUACAGCAAAACAUCUUGAUAUUUUAGACUUUGAAAAGUGUAGACAUAAUUCUAACAAUGUGAAAAAUUUCUUUUCUCCAAGUAAAAUUUUGUAACAUGACAAGCAACAAAUGAUUCCCAAACAUAAUAAUAAAAGUUAUAGAAAUGAAGAAUAGAUUUUACCGCAAGUACCUCAACCAUUGAACCCAAAUCUUCAUCAUUAUUCCAUUCAUCCAGAAUCAAGGCAGAAUCCCAAUCGGCAUCACAAUGAGUUUCGAUUUGCAGAGUAAAUUGAAUUUCAUUAGCUACUUUAAUCACAAGCAUAUAAUCUUCAUCAUACUCAUCAUAAAUAGGUAGAAAAUUCCAAUCGACUAAAUUAUCGAUUUCGUAAAAGCCUGACAACAUCAACAUGAUAACCUAAGAAUCGAUUAAGGCUCUGAUUACCAACUGAUGCAGGGCGCAGCGGAUAGAAAUGAAAUAAAAUGAUAGAUAUGAUUGAUAUAUAGGGUCCACUAUCUCAUAGUGCGAGGAGAGACCUAAAAACCCCAAAACCCCGUCUCUAGUACUAGCCUACAACUUAGACAACUAGAAAAACAAAGCAGAACAAUCUCACAAAGAGAAAGGAACAAAACUGAAAUAGAGAAACACUCUGAGAAUUUCAUUCAUCAACAACAUCCAACUCUUUCAUCUUACAGAAAGAGGUGGUAUUUAUAACCAUUUUAUAACAUACAUUUAGAAAUUAAAAAGGCAAUAAACUUAAAAUGAUAAAAAAAAUGAAAAUUACAUAAAUAAAGUAAUCCAAUCAGCCAAAAAACGUCCAAAACACCCUGGCUAUUAUUAAGAGCUACUAAUGUUAUUAAGUUCUUCUGAUUGGCCAUAGUCAUUGAUUUUAUCCCAAUGAUUUAAUAAAUACAGUGGCGAACUGAUCUGCAUCAACUUUAUAAUUAUAAUAUUAUUUGUGAGCAUAAACUUGUGGCAUGACAUCCUUGCAUUUUAUCUGCUCAUUAUUACAUGUUUUCACAAUGUCUCUUAGUUAUUUGUAUUGUCUUAGGCCAAGGACCAGUUUCACGGGUAGUUCACAUGCAUCGUUUACAUUCACUUUGGAUCCAGAGUUAGGUGCCAGCUUGUCCUUUUGUGUGAUGUGUUGGACUCAUAUGUGAUGGGACUAGCACAGCUCACGUGAUGUAGUACUAGAAUGUAAAACCUACACUCAACAUGUUCCAUUGUAUGAAUAUCUCUGCAAUGGACUUGUGUGCCUACAUACAUUAAUGCGCAUUGAUUUCUUGUAAUAACGAUUUGAGAUUUAAUGUUGAGAUACCUUGUUGUUGUACCCUG